CUUAAAAUCCGUCUGCUACUAGCUAGCUGGCUGGCAAAAAAAGAAAAAUAAACAUCUACAUGCCUUUUGCUUGCAUAUGCAAUUCAGAGUCAAGCCCUUCAAGCUCCAUUACAGAAGUAAAGUCCACAGAAAAAUUAAGAAACAUUUUUGCAGGGUCACCAAAGAGUGUCUCCUUAAGGACUGGGCUGAAGUAUAUACUCCUGGAAGAACUGGUACCUAUACCACAGGAACAUUCCUUGUUGUAAAGCUUUUGUGGAUGGAGGGAUACUAUAUCAAGAAUUAUUGCUCUGAAAUAUUUACAUUU